GGGGGUGUAGCUCAGGUGGUUAGAGCGCACGCCUGAUAAGCGUGAGGUCGAUGGUUCGAGUCCAUCCAUCCCCA
rnacentral:tRNA from 1 species